UACGGGGGGAGCAAGCGUUGUUCGGAUUUACUGGGCGUAAAGGGCGCGUAGGCGGCCACCGCAAGUCGACUGUGAAAUCUCCGGGCUUAACCCGGAAAGGUCAGCCGAUACUGCGGGGCUAGAGUGCAGAAGGGGGCAACUGGAAUUCUCGGUGGUAGCGGUGAAAUGCGUAGGAUAUCGAGAGGAACACCUGCGGCGAAGGCGGGUUGCUGGGCUGACACGUGACGCUGGAGGCGCGAAAGCUAGGGGAGCGAACGGGG
rnacentral:rRNA from 1 species